GGAGGGGUCGCAUAGUGGUCUAGUGCGGGCGCCUGCUAAGCGCUUAGGGGAAGAAAUUCCCCUCAUGGGUUCGAAUCCCAUUCCCUCCGCCA
rnacentral:tRNA from 2 species